CCUACGGGAGGCAGCAGUGAGGAAUAUUGGUCAAUGGCCGUAGGCUGAACCAGCCAAGUAGCGUUAGGGAAGACUGCCCUAUGGGUUGUAAAACUCCUUUAUGCGGGGAUAAAGGUGUCCACGUGUUGAUGUUUGCAGGUACCGCAUGAAUAAGGACCGGCUAAUUCCGGGCCAGCAGCCGCGGUAAUACGGGAGGUCCGGGCGUUAUCGGGAUUUAUUGGGUUUAAAGGGGGCGCAGGGCGGUCUUUAAGCGUGCCGUGAAAUUUUGGGGCUCAAACAUGAGAGUGCGCCGGGAACUGGAGACCUUGAGUGCGCGUAAGGCAGGCGGAAUUCGUGGUGUAGCGGUGAAAUGCUUAGAUAUCACGAAGAACCCCGAUUGCGAAGGCAGCCUGCCGAAGCGUUACUGACGCUGAAGCUCGAAAGCGCGGGUAUCGAACAGGAUUAGAUACCCGUGUAGUC
rnacentral:rRNA from 1 species